GUUACACUUAUGAUGCAAUAAAAAAAGUUCAGUAAUUAAUUAAUAAAUAUAUGGUGAAUAUUUUUUUAGUUUUAUUGGGUGAAAUUUUUAAAAUUGAAAUGUAUUUAUAGAAAUUUUAUGAGGUUAAUAAACUUAGAUUUAAAACUAGGAUUAGAUACCCUAUUAUUCUAAAUUAAACUUUAUGGUUACUUGGUCAGUAGUAGUUAUAGUCUUGAAAAUUAAAGAAGUUGGCGGUAUUUUAGUCUAUUCAGAGGAACCUGUUCUAUAAUCGAUGAUCCACGAUUUUUUUUACUUAUUUUCAUUAGUUUGCAUAUCGCCGUGGUUUGAAUAUUUUUAAAAAAAUUAAAUGUUCAAUAAUUUUAUUAGAAAAGAAUUCAGGUCAAGAUGUAGUUUAUAGAUAAGGAGAGAUGGGUUACAAUAAAUUUAUUUAGACGGAUUGAUAAAUGAAAUUUUAUUAUAAAGAUGGAUUUGAGGGUAAUUUUAUUUAAAUUAAUAAAAUGAUUUUAGCUCUAAA
rnacentral:rRNA from 1 species